rnacentral:lncRNA from 1 species
CAACAGACUGUGACCUCAAUGCUUUGCUCUCUACUCUGUUCCUGCAAAGACACAAUUCAUCCUGGUUGUGUGUUUUCUGCUAGCUGCAUCAAAAGAGGUUGGGCAAAGGCUCAGCUUCAUGGACAUUUGUCAUAGUAAGAAAACUGGGAGCACGCAAAGUG